UACGAAGGGAGCUAGCGUUGUUCGGAAUCACUGGGCGUAAAGCGCACGUAGGCGGAUUUGCCAGUCAGGGGUGAAAUCCCACGGCUCAACCGUGGAACUGCCUCAGAUACUGGCGGCCUCGAGGGAGGUAGGGGCAUGCGGAACUAUGCGUGGAGCGGUGAAAUGCGUUGAUAUGCAUAGGAACUCCGGUGGCGAAGGCGGCGUGCUGGACCUCUUCUGACGCUGAGGCGCGAAAGCCAGGGGAGCAAACGGG
rnacentral:rRNA from 1 species